AGCACCGCACGUCGCGUG
rnacentral:snRNA from 1 species